AGAGUUUGAUCCUGGCUCAGGAUGAACGCUAGCUACAGGCUUAACACAUGCAAGUCGAGGGGCAGCAUGGUCUUAGCUUGCUAAGGCCGAUGGCGACCGGCGCACGGGUGAGUAACACGUAUCCAACCUGCCGUCUACUCUUGGACAGCCUUCUGAAAGGAAGAUUAAUACAAGAUGGCAUCAUGAGUCCGCAUGUUCACAUGAUUAAAGGUAUUCCGGUAGACGAUGGGGAUGCGUUCCAUUAGAUAGUAGGCGGGGUAACGGCCCACCUAGUCUUCGAUGGAUAGGGGUUCUGAGAGGAAGGUCCCCCACAUUGGAACUGAGACACGGUCCAAACUCCUACGGGAGGCAGCAGUGAGGAAUAUUGGUCAAUGGGCGAGAGCCUGAACCAGCCAAGUAGCGUGAAGGAUGACUGCCCUAUGGGUUGUAAACUUCUUUUAUAAAGGAAUAAAGUCGGGUAUGCAUACCCGUUUGCAUGUACUUUAUGAAUAAGGAUCGGCUAACUCCGUGCCAGCAGCCGCGGUAAUACGGAGGAUCCGAGCGUUAUCCGGAUUUAUUGGGUUUAAAGGGAGCGUAGAUGGAUGUUUAAGUCAGUUGUGAAAGUUUGCGGCUCAACCGUAAAAUUGCAGUUGAUACUGGAUAUCUUGAGUGCAGUUGAGGCAGGCGGAAUUCGUGGUGUAGCGGUGAAAUGCUUAGAUAUCACGAAGAACUCCGAUUGCGAAGGCAGCCUGCUAAGCUGCAACUGACAUUGAGGCUCGAAAGUGUGGGUAUCAAACAGGAUUAGAUACCCUGGUAGUCCACACGGUAAACGAUGAAUACUCGCUGUUUGCGAUAUACAGCAAGCGGCCAAGCGAAAGCGUUAAGUAUUCCACCUGGGGAGUACGCCGGCAACGGUGAAACUCAAAGGAAUUGACGGGGGCCCGCACAAGCGGAGGAACAUGUGGUUUAAUUCGAUGAUACGCGAGGAACCUUACCCGGGCUUAAAUUGCAGAUGAAUUACGGUGAAAGCCGUAAGCCGCAAGGCAUCUGUGAAGGUGCUGCAUGGUUGUCGUCAGCUCGUGCCGUGAGGUGUCGGCUUAAGUGCCAUAACGAGCGCAACCCUUGUUGUCAGUUACUAACAGGUUCCGCUGAGGACUCUGACAAGACUGCCAUCGUAAGAUGUGAGGAAGGUGGGGAUGACGUCAAAUCAGCACGGCCCUUACGUCCGGGGCUACACACGUGUUACAAUGGGGGGUACAGAGGGCCGCUACCACGCGAGUGGAUGCCAAUCCCAAAAACCUCUCUCAGUUCGGACUGGAGUCUGCAACCCGACUCCACGAAGCUGGAUUCGCUAGUAAUCGCGCAUCAGCCACGGCGCGGUGAAUACGUUCCCGGGCCUUGUACACACCGCCCGUCAAGCCAUGGGAGCCGGGGGUACCUGAAGUGCGUAACCGCGAGGAGCGCCCUAGGGUAAAACUGGUGACUGGGGCUAAGUCGUAACAAGGUAGCCGUACCGGAAGGUGCGGCUG
rnacentral:rRNA from 2 species